rnacentral:rRNA from 1 species
UGGGGAAUAUUGGACAAUGGGCGCAAGCCUGAUCCAGCCAUGCCGCGUGAGUGAUGAAGGCCCUAGGGUUGUAAAGCUCUUUCACCGGUGAAGAUAAUGACGGUAACCGGAGAAGAAGCCCCGGCUAACUUCGUGCCAGCAGCCGCGGUAAUACGAAGGGGGCUAGCGUUGUUCGGAUUUACUGGGCGUAAAGCGCACGUAGGCGGACUAUUAAGUCAGGGGUGAAAUCCCGGGGCUCAACCCCGGAACUGCCUUUGAUACUGGUAGUCUUGAGUUCGAGAGAGGUGAGAGGAAUUCCGCGUGUAGAGGUGAAAUUCGUCGAUAUUCGGAGGAACACCAGUGGCGAAGGCGGCUCACUGGCUCGAUACUGACGCUGAGGUGCGAAAGAGUGGGGAGCAAACAGG